rnacentral:rRNA from 1 species
UGGGGAAUCUUGGACAAUGGGGGCAACCCUGAUCCAGCCAUGCCGCGUGUGGGAAGAAGGCCUUCGGGUUGUAAACCACUUUCAGGAGGGAAGAAGCGAAAGUGACGGUACCUCCAGAAGAAGCCCCGGCCAACUACGUGCCAGCAGCCGCGGUAAUACGUAGGGGGCGAGCGUUGUCCGGAAUUAUUGGGCGUAAAGGGCUCGUAGGCGGUCUCUUCAGUCGGGUGUGAAAUCUCAGGGCUCAACCCUGAAAUCGCACCCGAUACUCGGAGACUUGAGGCAGGUAGGGGAGAUUGGAAUUCCUGGUGUAGCGGUGAAAUGCGCAGAUAUCAGGAGGAACACCGGUGGCGAAGGCGGAUCUCUGGGCCGGUUCUGACGCUGAGGAGCGAAAGCGUGGGGAGCAAACAGGAUUAGAUACCCGCGUAGUCC